UAAACCUCCCCAGCUUUCCCACAUGCUCUGGUGAGCAUGUGGGCUGCCUCUUGACCGAAUGUUCCAGCGCCUUGCCUAUAUAGUUACCCUGGCCUCCGCGAAAUCACUGUGACAUUUACAAGGCAUGCCUCUGACCUCCCAGGUCUCCAUAGUUGGGAUGUUGUUUGGAAAUUUCCAAUGCAAUGGAAGAUUUCGGAGGACAAGGGAGUUUUUCCAGCCAUAGGUCUGCCAUAGUUCACUCUUAGUGCCUCAAUUGAACAAAUGAGUAAAAAAUGAAGAUUAAAGAAGGUAUGGUGAAAGAAAUGUUCUUUACUUCCUCUCCUUUUAACUCUCAGGACUAUUUCAAAGUUGCUAAUUUCAGAGCACAUUGAGACUAAAAAUAUAUUGGAUUUAUGAUUAAUGAGGGCAUGAAAUUUUAAAAAAUUAAGUACAUUCAAAUAAAGUAAGCCUACUAUUGUAUUUAAGAUGCAUAUAAAAGGAACUGCAUUUUAAAAAUACUUGUGCAAGGUAUAUUAUAAAAGUGGCAGUGUUUAGAAAUUUUAAUUAAAAUUUAAGUUUGAUUUAUGUUCUCAAUUUCAUUUAAUCCAAUGUCACUUUUUGAAUGUCACCUGUUUUUUCUGUUCCCAGUGUUUUCUGUAAUGUUCAGAAUGCCUUAUAUGAAUGCAGUAAUAUUUGCUAGACCUUCUAAACACAAACUGCUAAUGUGUUUUUCUAAAAAUUUUGGAAAUUCUAAAAGUUUAGACCUCGUAAUAUACAGAAAUCUUAAGUUUUUAAAAAUAAAGAUUUAGCAGCAGAGGACCCUGUCUACAGAGGACUUCUAUCUACAGAGUUGUCUUUACUAUUAUGUAUUUAUGACUUCCAGAGUCCAUUUGUGGUGUAUCUUAUCUAUAAUAUCACUAGAAAGUUUAUUUUG